GUCCUCUUGAUUAUAUUUUGAGGUCUGGCCUGCUCACUGACAAGGUUUUGAAGAGCCGCGGUAUUUUGACCGUGCAAAGGUAGCAUAAUCAUUAGUCUCUUAAUUAGGGGCUGGAAUGAAUGGCUUGACGAGAAAUCAACUGUCUCUUAAUAAUUUUUAAAAUUUAACUUUUGAGUCAAAAGGCUUAAAUUUUUUUUUAGGACGAGAAGACCCUAUAGAGCUUAACAUUUUAUUUUUAUAUAGUUUUUAGUUGAUCUUUCUAUAUUUAAUGAUAAUGUUUUGUUGGGGUGACAUGAAGAAUAAUUAAACUCUUCAUUAUAAAAUCAUUGAUUUAUGUUUAUCAUGAUCCAUAAUUUAUGAUCAUAAGAUUAAGUUACCUUAGGGAUAACAGCGUAAUUGUUUUCGAGAGCUCAUAUCGACAAAGCAGAUUGCGACCUCGAUGUUGGAUUAAGAAAAAUUUUGGGUGCAGGAGCCCAAUAAUUAGGUCUGUUCGACCUUUAAAUUCUUACA
rnacentral:rRNA from 1 species